GACGAACGCUGGCGGCGUGCCUAAUACAUGCAAGUAGAACGCUGAAGGAGGAGCUUGCUCUUCUGGAUGAGUUGCGAACGGGUGAGUAACGCGUAGGUAACCUGCCUGGUAGCGGGGGAUAACUAUUGGAAACGAUAGCUAAUACCGCAUAAGAGUAGAUGUUGCAUGACAUUUACUUAAAAGGUGCAAUUGCAUCACUACCAGAUGGACCUGCGUUGUAUUUGCUAGUUGGUGGGGUAACGGCUUACCAAGGCGACGAUACAUAGCCGACCUGAGAGGGUGAUCGGCCACACUGGGACUGAGACACGGCCCAGACUCCUACGGGAGGCAGCAGUAGGGAAUCUUCGGCAAUGGACGGAAGUCUGACCGAGCAACGCCGCGUGAGUGAAGAAGGUUUUCGGAUCGUAAAGCUCUGUUGUAAGAGAAGAACGAGUGUGAGAGUGGAAAGUUCACACUGUGACGGUAUCUUACCAGAAAGGGACGGCUAACUACGUG
rnacentral:rRNA from 1 species